rnacentral:rRNA from 1 species
UACGAAGGGGGGCUAGCGUUGCUCGGAAUCACUGGGCGUAAAGCGCACGUAGGCGGAUUGUUAAGUCAGGGGGUGAAAGCCUGGAGCUCAACUCCAGAACUGCCCUUGAUACUGGCAAUCUCGAGUCCGGAAGAGGUAAGUGGAACUCCGAGUGUAGAGGUGAAAUUCGUAGAUAUUCGGAAGAACACCAGUGGCGAAGGCGGUUCUCUGGGACGGUACUGACGCUGAGACGCGAAAGCGUGGGGAGCGAACAGG